UGAAGAAUGCGUUGGAAACUCCUCUGAACUCGGGAACACUUAUUCCUUUGUUCCAGCCCGGGUCUCGUGUUAAGGGUAAUUGAACUCUGCCGCAUUCCGUGGAUACUCGAAGUUCGGAUACCCAAAACUCGGGUAUGAGACUAGAUAGUCUGAUCAGGAUACUCGAGAGAGUGAGGCAGAGGUUUGGUGAACUGAAAAACUCGGGACAAGACCUCCUUGGAUUGGAGCCUUGUUCUCAUCCAAGAUGUCGAGCCACUGGUCAAAGGUGCGGCCAGUGAUGACUUCUCGGACGGG